GGACAACCUACCCUCCGGACGGGUAUAAACCCGGGAAACUGGGUAUAAUCCCCGAUAGAUCUCGGUCGCUGGAAAGCCCCGAGAUCGAAAGCUCCGGCGCCAGAGGAUGGGUCUGCGGCCUAUCAGGUAGUAGUGGGUGUAGCGUACCUACUAGCCUACGACGGAUACGGGUUGUGGGAGCAAGAGCCCGGAGAUGGAUUCUGAGACAUGAAUCCAGGCCCUACGGGGCGCAGCAGGCGCGAAAACUUUACAAUGCGGGGAACCGCGAUAAGGGGACACCGAGUGCCAGCAUCCUAUGUUGGCUGUCCAUAUGUCUAAAUCACAUGUGUUAGCAAGGGCCGGGCAAGACCGGUGCCAGCCGCCGCGGUAACACCGGCGGCCCGAGUGGUGGCCACUAUUAUUGGGUCUAAAGGGUCCGUAGCCGGUUUGGUCAGUCUUCCGGGAAAUCUGACGGCUCAACCGUUAGGCUUUCGGGGGAUACUACCAGGCUUGGGACCGGGAGAGGUAAGAGGUACUACGGGGGUAGGAGUGAAAUCUUGUAAUCCCUGUGGGACCACCAGUGGCGAAGGCGUCUUACCAGAACGGGUCCGACGGUGAGGGACGAAAGCUGGGGGCACGAACCGGAUUAGAUACCCGGGUAGUCCCAGCUGUAAACUAUGCUCGCUAGGUGUCAGGGACGGUGCGACCGUUUCUGGUGCCGCAGGGAAGCCGUGAAGCGAGCCACCUGGGAAGUACGGUCGCAAGGCUGAAACUUAA
rnacentral:rRNA from 1 species